GCAUAAUUAAAGAGAUAAUAGUCCAAUCUAUGAAAUAUGUUUUAAAGCUUCCACAAUUCUCUCUCUGCAUACAAAACAUAUAUACACAUUACUUGUGCGAGAAUAUCAUCUGCAAAGGUAAGGUGGGUAAUCUUAUGAUAAGACUGAAGAGAACAAUCUGGCCUUGAGCUUUUAUUUUACAUUCAUACUUAAUAAAAAAAGAGCUUAGGUCCCUGAGUCAAAUAUGAACACCCCUGUUCCUCGAUGGACUUUCGUUGCUUCAUCUCCAUAUUCUUUUACACAUGAAAUUUCUAAAAUCUGACAUGUUAAAGUUUUCACUAAAUUAACAGAGAAUCUAAAUUAUAAUUGAGGCAUAUACCAG
rnacentral:misc_RNA from 1 species